CACAAUAUUACAAAAUGUCUGAAAGCAGAUAUUUCCAAAGAAUUCUGGGAGCACAAGCAAACACCUUCCUUUCUCCUGCUUAUGUCUGGGGGAAAGCGGAUAAUGAGUUAUCCUUUUCACAAUCACUGUUCAGUGGAUUUUUGGCCACAUUAUUCGGAACAAAUAUAAACAGGAUUAAAGGCGCGCAGGCAUUUGUCACGGGGAAGUGUACCCGGCUGUGCUGGGAAAUGGACUUUUCGAUGAGCGCGGGAGCCUGAACUGUCGCAGAGGGGAGAGCCGGUGUUAUUGCAGCCUGCCGGGCCGCGGUGGCCGUCACCUGUGUUAUCGGCGGUGGCAGGCAUCACCUCCCACUGAAAGCAUCCCAUUACGAGCCAAUGCAGCGCAGAGAGAUGCCAGCUCAUCACGCUCAGAAGGGGUCGCUGAGGAUGUGCUCUGUGCCAGAGACCGAGGCACCCCGUCCUGCCAUCCUCCUAACAAUUCACGAAGAGGUCCCGAUGCCCUGAUAUCCCACAUGACGGAUGGAGAACUUGAGGCACUUGUCUACGUGAGGCACUUCACCGCCGACCACAGAGCUAGCGAGGGACGUGGCUGGCUACCUCUGCCCGGUGAUGUCGCACCUGUCCCAAGAACAGGUGCCUUUUCAGGCUCGGCCAGGACACAGGAGGCUGCGUGGUGGAGUGGACCGAGUAGAUGGACCUGGGCUCAAGCCCCCGUGCUUCCUCCAGCUGGCUGUGUGACCCAGGAAAUCACACACUCGCUCUGAGUCAUAAUUUUUUUCAGGCUUAGCUUGACCCCAUCUCUGGGGCUGGAGCCAGCACCCAUCAGGGCAUACCUCCGAGGGGUGCCCCCGGGGCUCAGGGUUUGCCCACAUGGCUAAUUGUCAGAGGCACUGCCAGGGCAGCUGCCCCUCGGCGAGGCCCUGGGAGAGAGGAGGGAGGGAGGCAUUGGCUGUGGA